GAUGAACGCUGGCGGCGUGCCUAAUACAUGCAAGUCGAGCGAACAGACGAGGAGCUUGCUCCUCUGACGUUAGCGGCGGACGGGUGAGUAACACGUGGAUAACCUACCUAUAAGACUGGGAUAACUUCGGGAAACCGGAGCUAAUACCGGAUAAUAUAUUGAACCGCAUGGUUCAAUAGUGAAAGACGGUUUUGCUGUCACUUAUAGAUGGAUCCGCGCCGCAUUAGCUAGUUGGUAAGGUAACGGCUUACCAAGGCGACGAUGCGUAGCCGACCUGAGAGGGUGAUCGGCCACACUGGAACUGAGACACGGUCCAGACUCCUACGGGAGGCACCAGUAGGGAAUCUUCCGCAAUGGGCGAAAGCCUGACGGAGCAACGCCGCGUGAGUGAUGAAGGUCUUCGGAUCGUAAAACUCUGUUAUUAGGGAAGAACAAAUGUGUAAGUAACUAUGCACGUCUUGACGGUACCUAAUCAGAAAGCCACGGCUAACUACGUG
rnacentral:rRNA from 1 species